AUGGAGGGCGCGGCGGUGGGAAUGCAUGCUGGGGGUGAUACCAUCAGGUGCAUCUCCGCAGCGCGCAUCCUCGUCGACAGCGGCCAGUCGAGAUUGAGUGCGGAUUCCCAAGUGGAGGUGAGGGCUCUGGAGGGGAUUUCUGCUGCUACUUGCCACAAUUUUCAAUCCACGCCUCCUGGCUCUCCGAUUCGAGUGGCACAUAAGCGUGAGAAUCGGCGGGCGACGUCGCCGCCGGCGUUGGUUACUUCUUCUCUGGCGAGAAAAAACUAUGGGGGGCGCUCUGUCACUGCACGGAGGACCCUGCUUGUCGAGUGUGUGGUGGAUGUGAGGCCCGAGCUAGAGACACUUAGCGACUGCUGGUUGGUUGGCGCUCGAAAAGGGGAGACACCCAAGCAGAAGACGCUUCCUGCAGAUCCUAUAGGAGAGAGCAAGGCCCGGUCUGCUCCCCAAGCUAGGGUUCAUCUCCGCCGCCGCCGCGGGGCUCCUCCUGGCUCACUAGUGUGGGUCAGGAAAUAUUUGUUUGAGCGUGGAGAGUUCUCUGCCAAAGAUUGCCACCCUGUUGGAGCGGCUGAUCACCUGCCCCUUCUGAAGCAGUUAAGUUGCUCCAGGGAUUGUUGGGCUAGAGAGCACGGGAGAAUUCCAUUCGCUGCUGUGGUCAAAAGGAUGGCCGGAGCUGGAAGAGAGGGUUCUUGA
rnacentral:rRNA from 1 species